UUCCUUUGAAUUUGUCACACACCUGUUAUAUUGUUUAGCUCACCUAUUGAUCUUUAUUUGAUUUUCUUUCUUUUCUUCCUAAAUUCCUUUUUUUUCUCAUUUCUUUCUACUACUUCCUUUUUUCAUUUUCUCCUUAAAUUUCAUUCCUUUCUCUUUUAUAUAAACUCAAGUGCAGAAUUAGUCUGUUUAUCUCAAUUUAUCUCUCUAUCAGUCAUUCUAAUAUUCUCUCUCUCUCUCUCUCAUCGAGGAGGAGGAGGAGGCGGAUAAUAUAUGACUCAAUCGACAACCCUUCUCUCCCUUCCGUUCUCUCCCACUCUCUCUCUCAGGACGGAGGGAGGAGAGUGUAGCACCCCUGCACGUGGAGAAAGAGGGAAGAAGGGAGAGAGGGAGAGGGAGAAAGGGGGGUGGGGGGAAGCGCACGUGGAGUCUGCUUGCAAGAAAGGGCGACAUGUGCUGGCCGACUGCUUGUUUUCCCUCCUCCCUCUCUCCCUGCCUGAGUGUCUGCGCGUGCUACCCCCCUCACCGUCUCUCUCUCUCUCUCUCUCUCUCUGGCCAUGCGCUGUUGGAAAAUCGGUAACUUGGCAACAGGGCAGCCGGGCGAGUGUGUGUGUGUGUGUGUGUGUGUGUGUGUGUGUGUAGUCUCUCUCACACACACGCCCGCGUCACCCACACCUCCACACACGCCCCCCCUGUCUACUGUUUAAUGCUUUUCCUCGUUUUGUCUUCUUCCGUUCCCCUUCAACCAUAUUUUAAAGUUAUCCUCACUCCAGGGCCCCUACAGUCACAGGUCUUAUGCGCCGUCAGGAACCCGCCAUCCACAUGCACCCGGGUUAUGCUUGUUGCCGGGCCUCGUCUGGACAACCUGCUGCAGUGCAGCCUGCAUUUCUCGGCCGAGGCCUUCCACGGCAAGGCCGGGGAGAGGUCCAGCAGGUUCAAGGGGGGCGCCGUGCCCUGCCUCAACCUUCCCCCCUCACCUGGUAACCUUUAGUUUAUCGUACUUCAUACAGUACGUGUAUUUUCCGAAUUCCUCUUCACUAUCUUCACACGACCUCUUCGUGUCACGAAACACAAAAAGUUGAUCCAGACCCGGAAAGGGUUUUACCGGCGCCGGGGAUCGAAUCCGCGACCGGCUAGAUGGGAAAGCCACUCCUUAACCAGUCGGCCAAAGAGGUACUCCCUCGCAGCUGAGUUUGGGCAGUUUUCCCCUCAGGCGGGUCAGGCACCUUUUCUUUCUUUAGAUGUUGCCUAUAGCGCCCGUAGGCUCUCCUGAGGGGCCUUCUAGGCGAUCCCAGUGCGUUAGUGGCACAGGCGAAUUACACUUUGUGGCUGCGUGAUGUAUGACUCGCCUGGCCCACGCUGCCCCCCGGUGCUCCUCUUGAACGAAGUCGCUGAAGUUAGGGUUGCUUGAAGAUCUGGACAGCAUGUGGGUAAUCUUCCGCCACUCGGCGAUGGUUUGAAAGAUCAGUGUGUUUCGGUGGGACUCGAACCCAGGUCCACGGGCUCACCACGCCCGCACGCUAACCACUCGGCCGCCGCCUCCCCAUCCAGAUUGCACCCAACUCACUUCAUUGGUAGACACUCUGGUAAAUCUAAAGAAGUCUUUAAUCCUUUUUAGUAAUUUUAAG